rnacentral:rRNA from 1 species
AGAGUUUGAUCAUGGCUCAGAUUGAACGCUGGCGGCAGGCCUAACACAUGCAAGUCGAACGGUAACAGGAAACAGCUUGCUGUUUUCGCUGACGAGUGGCGGACGGGUGAGUAAUGUCUGGGAAACUGCCUGAUGGAGGGGGAUAACUACUGGAAACGGUAGCUAAUACCGCAUAACGUCGCAAGACCAAAGAGGGGGACCCUCGGGCCUCUUGCCAUCGGAUGUGCCCAGAUGGGAUUAGCUUGUUGGUGGGGUAACGGCUCACCAAGGCGACGAUCCCUAGCUGGUCUGAGAGGAUGACCAGCCACACUGGAACUGAGACACGGUCCAGACUCCUACGGGAGGCAGCAGUGGGGAAUAUUGCACAAUGGGCGCAAGCCUGAUGCAGCCAUGCCGCGUGUAUGAAGAAGGCCUUCGGGUUGUAAAGUACUUUCAGCGGGGAGGAAGGGAGUAAAGUUAAUACCUUUGCUCAUUGACGUUACCCGCAGAAGAAGCACCGGCUAACUCCGUGCCAGCAGCCGCGGUAAUACGGAGGGUGCAAGCGUUAAUCGGAAUUACUGGGCGUAAAGCGCACGCAGGCGGUUUGUUAAGUCAGAUGUGAAAUCCCCGGGCUCAACCUGGGAACUGCAUCUGAUACUGGCAAGCUUGAGUCUCGUAGAGGGGGGUAGAAUUCCAGGUGUAGCGGUGAAAUGCGUAGAGAUCUGGAGGAAUACCGGUGGCGAAGGCGGCCCCCUGGACGAAGACUGACGCUCAGGUGCGAAAGCGUGGGGAGCAAACAGGAUUAGAUACCCUGGUAGUCCACGCCGUAAACGAUGUCGACUUGGAGGUUGUGCCCUUGAGGCGUGGCUUCCGGAGCUAACGCGUUAAGUCGACCGCCUGGGGAGUACGGCCGCAAGGUUAAAACUCAAAUGAAUUGACGGGGGCCCGCACAAGCGGUGGAGCAUGUGGUUUAAUUCGAUGCAACGCGAAGAACCUUACCUGGUCUUGACAUCCACGGAAGUUUUCAGAGAUGAGAAUGUGCCUUCGGGAACCGUGAGACAGGUGCUGCAUGGCUGUCGUCAGCUCGUGUUGUGAAAUGUUGGGUUAAGUCCCGCAACGAGCGCAACCCUUAUCCUUUGUUGCCAGCGGUCCGGCCGGGAACUCAAAGGAGACUGCCAGUGAUAAACUGGAGGAAGGUGGGGAUGACGUCAAGUCAUCAUGGCCCCUUACGACCAGGGCUACACACGUGCUACAAUGGCGCAUACAAAGAGAAGCGACCUCGCGAGAGCAAGCGGACCUCAUAAAGUGCGUCGUAGUCCGGAUUGGAGUCUGCAACUCGACUCCAUGAAGUCGGAAUCGCUAGUAAUCGUGGAUCAGAAUGCCACGGUGAAUACGUUCCCGGGCCUUGUACACACCGCCCGUCACACCAUGGGAGUGGGUUGCAAAAGAAGUAGGUAGCUUAACCUUCGGGAGGGCGCUUACCACUUUGUGAUUCAUGACUGGGGUGAAGUCGUAACAAGGUAACCGUAGGGGAACCUGCGGUUG